rnacentral:rRNA from 1 species
AUACGUAGGGGGCAAGCGUUGUCCGGAAUUAUUGGGCGUAAAGGGUGCGUAGGCGGCCUUUUAAGUCAGAUGUGAAAGGUCACGGCUCAACCGUGGUAAGCAUUUGAAACUGGAAGGCUUGAGUUAAGGAGAGGAAAGUGGAAUUCCUAGUGUAGCGGUGAAAUGCGUAGAUAUUAGGAGGAAUACCAGUGGCGAAGGCGACUUUCUGGCCUUUAACUGACGCUGAGGCACGAAAGCGUGGGGAGCAAACAGGAUUAGAUACCCUGGUAGUCCACGCCGUAAACGAUGAGUGCUAGGUGUUGGAGGUAUACCCUUCAGUGCCGCAGCUAACGCAUUAAGCACUCCGCCUGGGGAGUACGUGCGCAAGCAUGAA